GAAGACCACAGAGAGUUCCCCCAACCUCUCUACAGGGACACCUUCCUGUCUCCACCCAUCAGGACACAAGCAGAGCCCCUCAGCGGAGUCAUCGAGGGCAUCAGCGCCGGAAUGUUCCUCAUCGGAAUGUUGAUCGCCGUCAUCUCCCUCCUCGUCUACAGGCAGAGAAUCCGUAAAGUGGCAGUACAGGAGAGCCCAGUGGUACGGAUGAGCAUGUGGAAGCAGGGGCCUACAUCAGGGAUGUACGUUGGAGUCAGAAGCAACCGACGCAUCUCAAGGUGCGUC